AGUCUGGUGCCAGCACCCGCGGUAAUCCCAGCUCAAUUAGCGUAUAUUAAAGUUGUUGCAGUUAAAAAGCUCGUAGUUGAACCUCUGUUUGGGACUAAUUUUGGCUUCUGUCAGGUUAGUUUCAAGCAUCCGCUUGCAAAACCUAGCCGUCAUUCACUUGUCGCUAGGAGGAGCAGGCAUUUUACUUUGAAAAAAUUAGAGUGUUUAAGGCAGGCAAUUGCCCGCAUAUAUUAGCAUGGAAUAAUAGAAUAGGACACUUUUCCAUUUCGUUGGUUAUUGGAAUCGUGUAAUGAUUAAUAGGGACAGUUGUGGGCAUUUGUAUUUAAUUGUCAGAGGUGAAAUUCUUGGAUUUAUUAAAGACAAACUAACGCGAAAGCAUUUGCCAAGGAUGUUUUCAUUAAUCAAGAACGAAAGUUAGGGGAUCAAAGACGAUCAGAUACCGUCAUAGUCUUAACUAUAAACUAUUCCGACUCAAUGUUCGACUGGCUUAUAUAACCAGUUGAGCGUUGUAUGAGAAAUCAAAGUCUUUAGGUUCUGGGGGGAGUAUGGUUGCAAAGCUGAAACUUAAAGGAAUUGACGGAAGAGCACAACCAGGAGUGGAUUCUGCGGCUUAAUUUGACUCAACACGGGGAAACUUACCAGGUUAAAACAAUAGUGGGAUUGACAGUUUGAGAGCGCUUUCUUGAUUCGUUGGGUGGUGGUGCAUGGCCGUUCUUAGUUGGUGGAGUGAUUUGUCUGCUUAAUUGCGUUAACGAACGAGACCUUAACCUGCUUACUAGACUGCCGAUGUAUAAUCGACAGCUCUUCUUAGAGGGACUUUGGUUGUUUUAACUCCAAGGAAGUUUGAGGCAAUAACAGGUCUGUGAUGCCCUUAGAUAUCCUGGGCCGCACGCGUCAUACAAUGACCAGUUCAGAAAGUUUCAUCCUGAUCCGGAAGGAUACGGGUAAUCUUGACAGUACUGGUCGUGUUAGGGAUCGAUCUUUGCAAUUAUAGAUUUUGAACGAGGAAUUCCUAGUAAGUGCAGUUCAUCAGACUGUACUGAUUACGUCCCUGCUCUUUGUACACACCGCCCGUCGCUUCUACCGAGUGAGUGGUCCGGUGAGAUACUUGAACUUGGCCGGAUUUAUCCGAUCGGGGAAGAUUAUCAAACCUAUCCACUUCGAGGAAGAAGAAGUCGUAACAAGGU
rnacentral:rRNA from 1 species